rnacentral:rRNA from 1 species
UCUAAGUUUGAUGGCGACCGGCGCACGGGUGAGUAACACGUAUCCAACCUGCCGAUGACUCGGGGAUAGCCUUUCGAAAGAAAGAUUAAUACCCGAUGGCAUAGUUCUUCCGCAUGGUAGAACUAUUAAAGAAUUUCGGUCAUCGAUGGGGAUGCGUUCCAUUAGGUUGUUGGCGGGGUAACGGCCCACCAAGCCUUCGAUGGAUAGGGGUUCUGAGAGGAAGGUCCCCCACAUUGGAACUGAGACACGGCCCAAACUCCUACGGGAGGCAGCAUG